rnacentral:rRNA from 1 species
CGGGUGCACUGAUCCCGCCCGGGCCUUUCCCUCUGUGAAACCCCAUGGCCUUCACUGGCUGUGGUGGGGAAACAGGACUUUUACUUUGAAAAAAUUAGAGUGCUCCAGGCAGGCCUAUGCUCGAAUACAUUAGCAUGGAAUAAUAGAAUAGGACGUGUGGUUCUAUUUUGUUGGUUUCUAGGACCGCCGUAAUGAUUAAUAGGGACAGUCGGGGGCAUCAGUAUUCAAUUGUCAGAGGUGAAAUUCUUGGAUCUAUUGAAGACUAACUACUGCGAAAGCAUUUGCCAAGGAUGUUUUCAUUGAUAAGGAACGAAAGUUAGGGGAUCGAAGACGAUCAGAUACCGUCGUAGUCUUAACUAUAAACUAUGCCGACUAGGGAUCGGACGAUGUUAUUCUUUGACGCGUUCGGCACCUUUCGAGAAAUCAAAGUGCUUGGGCUCCAGGGGGAGUAUGGUCGCAAGGCUGAAACUUAAAGAAAUUGACGGAAGGGCACCACCAGGGGUGGAACCUGCGGCUUAAUUUGACUCAACACGGGGAAACUCACCAGGUCCAGACACAGUGAGGAUUGACAGAUUGAGAGCUCUUUCUUGAUUCUGUGGGUGGUGGUGCAUGGCCGUUCUUAGUUGGUGGAGUGAUUUGUCUGCUUAAUUGCGAUAACGAACGAGACCUUAACCUGCUAAAUAGCCCGUACUGCUUUGGCAGUUCGCCGGCUUCUUAGAGGGACUAUCGG